GGGUCUGCAGACCAAUAUGGGAUGAUGACCUUCUGGAGACCCGUUGGUCGGGGGUUCAAGUCCCCCCGGCCCCACCA
rnacentral:tRNA from 2 species